rnacentral:lncRNA from 1 species
UUCCUACAGGUGUCAGUGCUUCUGAGUGGUGAAGUAAGGACCUGGCUCACUCCACCGGUGUUCAGAGGAGUUCCUCUGCAGGAUGAUGGCGCGGAAAGCCUUUCUGGAUGAGUAUUCUUCUACUGCCUACUCUGCCUGCCUUACUCCUGUGGGCUGCAAAGAACAGGAAGGAACUAAACAAGAAAACAACACUGGAGGAGGAUUCUUCCUGAGUCUAUCUAAAAGAACUUGGGGAAAUUAAUUCAGAAGAGAGGAAGGUUAAGAAUUUACCUGAUCUUUCCACCAAAAAAUCAAGAAGUCAACAAUUCAGAAAAAUUUAAGAAGAAUUUUUCUUCCCACAACUGUAAGAUGGCCAAUAUAUUUGGAAGCUGGGAGUAAGUAUGGAAAGAUUUAAAUAAAGUGCUCAC